AACGAACGCUGGCGGCAGGCUUAACACAUGCAAGUCGAACGGGUGCAGCAAUGCAUCAGUGGCAGACGGGUGAGUAACACGUGGGAACCUUCCUAGGGGUACGGAACAACUCAGGGAAACUUGAGCUAAUACCGUAUACGUCCGUAAGGAGAAAGAUUCAUCGCCCCUAGACGGGCCCGCGUCGGAUUAGGUAGUUGGUGGGGUAACGGCCUACCAAGCCUACGAUCCGUAGCUGAUCUGAGAGGAUGAUCAGCCACACUGGGACUGAGACACGGCCCAGAUUCCUACGGGAGGCAGCAGUGGGGAAUCUUGGACAAUGGGCGCAAGCCUGAUCCAGCCAUGCCG
rnacentral:rRNA from 1 species